AUUGAACGCUGGCGGCAGGCCUAACACAUGCAAGUCGAGCGGAGCGGCGGACGGGUGAGUAAUGUCUGGGAGACUGCCUGAUGGAGGGGGAUAAAUCCUGGAAACGGGAGCUAAUACCGCAUACUCUCAGAUGAGCCUAGGUCGGAUUAGCUAGUUGGGGGGGGAAAGGCCUACCAAGGCGACGAUCCGUAACUGGUCUGAGAGGAUGAUCAGUCACACUGGAACUGAGACACGGUCCAGACUCCUACGUGAGGCAGCAGUGGGGAAUAUUGGACAAUGGGCGAAAGCCUGAUGCAGCCAUGCCGCGUGUGUGAAGAAGGUCUUCGGAUUGUAAAGCACUUUAAGUUGGGAGGCGUUACCAACAGAAUAAGCACCGGCUAACUUCGUGCCAGCAGCCGCGGUAAUAC
rnacentral:rRNA from 1 species